rnacentral:rRNA from 1 species
GACGUAGGGGGCAAGCGUUAUCCGGAAUCACUGGGCGUAAAGGGCGUCUAGGCGGCAUGCCAAGUCUCGCGUGAAAGCUCCCGGCUCAACUGGGAGAGGGCGCGGGAAACUGGCGAGCUAGAGACUCGGAGGGGGGUGUGGAAUUCCCGGUGGAGUGGUGAAAUGCGUUGAGAUCGGGAGGAACACCCGUGGCGAAGGCGGCACCCGGGCCGAGGUUUGACGCUGAAGCGCGAGAGCGUGGGGAGCGAACGGG